rnacentral:rRNA from 1 species
UAUUGUUAUAGACAUUUAAUAUUACGUGACAUAGUAAUUGGUAAAUAUAUUUUUAGGGGUGAUAGGCCUUUUAAAUUUAUUGAUAGCUUGAUACGUAAUAAAAUUAUUAAGUAUAAAGUCAUACUAUGAAAGUUAAGUUUUAUAGUAGUAAUUAAUUUAGGGAAAAUAAUAUAUUAUAGUUUAAUAGCUAAUUAAUAGUAAUAUAAAUAUUUUUUUCUUAAUUUUUGUUUAAUACAUUACGUUAUUUUUACUUGAGUAUAUAUUAAUAAUGUUAAUAUAAGUAAUAUUUAUAAAUAAAUUAAAGGAACUCGGCAACUACAUUUUUCAACUGUUUAUCAAAAACAUAACUAUAUGGUCUUGUAUAUAGCUGUUCCUGCUCAAUGAUUUUAAAUAGCCGCAGUACCCUGACUGUGCAAAGGUAGCAUAAUCAGUUGGCUUUUAAUUGGAGUCUAGAAUGAAUGGAUUUUUGGAAAAUAACUUUCUCUUUUUUAUUUUUAUGAAAUUAGUUUGUAAGUGAAAAUACUUACGUAUAUAUAAAGGACGAGAAGACCCUAGAAAUUUAAAUAUUAUUUUGUUGGGGCGACAGAAUUACAAAAAACUAAUUUGGUUUACGUGACGUUUUUACAGAUCGAUUAAAUUACUCUAGGGAUAACAGCAUAAUUUUUAUAGUUUGUGACCUCGAUGUUGGACUAGGAUAUUAAACGGUUUAGAAGAUCUUUAAUAAUGCUCUGUUCGAGCU